CGAAGGCCUUCUGAUCUUUGAUUUACAGCUGCUCUCAUGGAAGAUUUGUUCAAUAAUCCUCAGGAUUGCGGCAAAACACCCAAGGACAUAUUUGUCUACUCAGCUGUAGUCAGACACCUCCAUCUCCCCCAGGUAUGAAACUAUGGUUUCUUUUCCUUAUGUAGGAUGCUUCAUCAGCUUACCAGCAUUCCAGGAGAACUCUUCUUCUGUGACCUCCCACUGUGAGUCAGGGUAAAGAGCCUAUAAGGAAGCCUCUAGCCUCUUCCCUGGUGAAGAAAGGAAAGGGCCAAAGGGCAUUGCCUCCAGUCCUUGGAAAAAUAGCCAGGAUAAAAAAGGAGAGGCCAAGAAGUGUCCCCACCAGUCCUUGAUAAUAGAGAAGCAAGAGAAUGUCAUCUCCCCAGAGAUCCUAAGAGAAUUCCAGUGGAAUGCGAGCUUCCGGAGGUAGGAGACACACUUGCCCUUAUCCUCAGCCUCGUCCGUUUCUGAUUGGUGCUGCAUACCCAUUGUCAACUGAAUAAAUGAAUGCGUGAUCUAACAAGGCAAAAGUGAUUCAGACUGAUGGGUCAAAUAGGGCUCCUCCUGGGAUUGAAUUUUCCCUUCUCAAUAACACAAAGAGGUGAGUCUUCAGUGCUACAAGAAGGAAGCCAAGCUUGUUGGGUCUGGCACAAAGCAAACAUUUUUGCAUUGCCUGAAUUAUUUUAAAUAAUUGAAAACAUCAUUCUGAUGGUCCAUGCCACAAGGCACCAGGUAGUCAACUUAGGAAAAAUGAAGGGUUGUGGCUUGCAUUUCAACCUGGCCUAAGUAGCUGAUCA
rnacentral:lncRNA from 1 species